rnacentral:rRNA from 1 species
CCACAUUGGAACUGAGACACGGUCCAAACUCCUACGGGAGGCAGCAGUGCGGAAUAUUGGUCAAUGGGCGCAGGCCUGAACCAGCCAAGUAGCGUGAAGGAUGACUGCCCUAUGGGUUGUAAACUUCUUUUAUAAAGGAAUAAAGUCGGGUAUGUAUACCCGUUUGCAUGUACUUUAUGAAUAAGGAUCGGCUAACUCCGUGCCAGCAGCCGCGGUAAUACGGAGGAUCCGAGCGUUAUCCGGAUUUAUUGGGUUUAAAGGGAGCGUAGAUGGAUGUUUAAGUCAGUUGUGAAAGUUUGCGGCUCAACCGUAAAAUUGCAGUUGAUACUGGAUAUCUUGAGUGCAGUUGAGGCAGGCGGAAUUCCGAGUGUAGCGGUGAAAUGCGUAGAUAUUCGGAGGAACACCAGUGGCGAAGGCGGCCUGCUGGGCUUUUACUGACGCUGAGGCUCGAAAG